rnacentral:lncRNA from 1 species
GAAAAAUGAUUUUGAUGAUGAUCUUGAUUUUGAUAAUUUGAAUUUAAACGAACCCCCUCCUCAAAAUAGCCAUUUGAAUGCAUCUUCUUCCGAAAUUUCUUUACCCAAAGAAUGGAAGUAUGUAGAUGCUCAUCCAAAGGAGCUAAUUAUAGGAGAUACAACAAAAGGGGUUCAAACUCGUUCUUCUUUCAAGAAUUUUUGUGCUAACGCCGCUU